UGCGGGGUCCUGCACCGUGACAUCAAACCAGAGAACAUCCUGGUUGACCUGGCCACCGGGCAGGCAAAGGUGAUCGACUUUGGCUGUGGCACCUAGCUGCAAGAGACAGCCUACACUCACUUUGCAGGAACACCAUCAUACAGCCCCCCGGAAUGGACCCAUUUUGGCUGGUACUAUGGCAAGCCAGCUACCAUCUGGUCCAUGGGCAUCCUGCUGCACCAGAUGGUCUGUGGGAAGAUGCCUUUCAGGAGGGACCAGAACAUCAGCUGGGGCCAGCUCUCGCUGCCACAACGGCUCUCUCCAGCUGGGAUCCUGGGCAGAGCCCUGACAGCUUGGUCUGAGCCCAGGGAAGGAGAAGGAGCUCCCAGAGAAGCUGUACCAGGUGGGGCUGCUGCUGCAGGAGACAGCGAGGAUGACAUCAAGGAUGACAACCUCUUCCUCUACCUGGCCACCAACAGCUGAAGAGGAAGCAAUCUAGAUGGUUCAGUCUGGAUCGGGAAAUGCUUGGGAGCAGCUGUGGCGUGGAUGGGCCGUGCCCUUGGAGCAGGCUGAGGACAUUGUUUGGGACCAGCUUUUCUUCCAGCCAUGGAUGGCAUGAGAAGUGCCACGAGUGGGCCAACGUGGCGAGUGGGCCGUGUUCCUGAGGCAGUGCAGUCUGGAGCUACUGGAUGGAGAAUUGCCCUUCUGCACUUCCAAACCAGAGCAAAAAGCUAAAACAUGUCCUGUAAAAGAAGUGUCCUUUUCUCCUGGUUCCCGUGUGGAGCAGCUCCCUUCCCGCUGGCUGAGCUGCUCAGGCAGAGCCAGGCAGCUCCUGGCCCUGCAGGGCUGAGGCUUUUCCCCACUGCUGGGCACAGACUGAUGGAGCAGCACAGCUGAAUACAGGGGCACACACAGAGGGACCAGGAGCAGCUGCCUUUGGCCA